UCAUUUUAUUACUUUUUGUAUCUUGCUUUCUCUUUAUCUGGUUCAUUACAAUUCAAGUUUUUUUCAUGUUACAGGUUGAUAUUUUUUGGAAGUACAAUGAAAUUCUUGGCAAAGGAGCUUUUAAAGACAGUGUGUGAACCUCAUUUCCUCAUAUUAUUUUGAACUUUCAUUGAAUCGUUCUUCAACAGUCAACAAUUGGAGGUAGAGAACCCAACGCUUGAGAGAGGUGGCAUUGCUUAUGAUACAGUUUUGUUAUAAAACAGUCGGUAAUGGCCACAAGAGACAUGAUUCAUUCUUGUCGUUCUCUAAUACAAGUUGUGCAUUUUAAUUUUUCUUUUUCUUCAUAUUUGUUGACACCGUUAAACCAAUUUUAAUUUUAAGAUUGUUUUUUAUUGAAUUUGUUUUGGGUCAAAAAAAUGUAGGAUUAUUUGUUUGUUGGACUUUUGCGAGCACUUGGAAUUUGGUUAAAUUAGUGUUUAGUCGCUUUGUAUUUAGUUUCCCACCGCAAACGCUAAUCUUAAAAUGUCGGGUUACCAAGUAUAAUUUAUGUCAAGAUUGAUUUGUUUAACCUUGGUUAUUUAGGUAUUUGUUUAUUGAUUAAUAUGCGAUUAAAAGUAAGAUUGGAGUUUAUCUAAAAGAUACAAUUUAGGGAACAAUAUAAAUAGGGAAAUAAUAUUAAAUAAGGAAAUAAUGCAAAAUCUGACUUGAUGAAGAUUAAACACCAAAUCAUUGACAGAAAACACCAUAGCAUGAGAUGAAUCAUUUACCCACGUUGCAAUUCUUACUUUUAUAAGCUCACAAACUUCCUCCAAAUUUGGCUGCACCCCAUUAAACACAAUAUCUUUUCUCAAUUUCCAAAUAGACCACAAAAUUGCAAUUAGGGUGGCAUUCCAAAUUCUUUACUCCAGCUUUUUCAUACGAGUCCCAACCCAAAACUGCAGCAGACUCACCACUACCCUGGACAUGGUGUCACUUGUGAGGUUAAAUAGAGGGUUUUGAUUGAGUUUUGAAAGAAUAUUAAAGAACACUUUGAAGGUUUGGCAUGUUCUUGAGGCUUGGGGUUUACUUGCACCAUUCCAACCAUCAACUCUAUCUUUUCCCUCCUCCUUAUGAAUCAAAGCUUCAAGUAAAGGUAAGGGUCUUCUGACAUCUUCAUUAGAAGCAUGCUAGGGUUUCUAUUUUUAACUAAUAACAUUAUUCCUGAGUUAGUUUUGUAUUCAUGAGUAGUUUUAUAUAUUUCAGUCCAUGAAAUUAAUGCUCCAUUAAAAUCCAUAUUUUGAAUGUGUUAAGUUAAAUUCCUAUUCAUACUUUGUUUCAUGGUUAAUAACUCAUGUUUGAACUAAGUUAAGGUAUCACUAUGAAACCUUCAAAAGGGUUAGUGUAACAUGAUUUUAUAAACUUUGAGUACAAUAUUCUUAGCCAUCUAUGAAAUCAAAAUAAAUGAUUAUUUAAUUAAUUUAGGAUUUUCAUGUCAAAAGUUAAAAAAUAUAUUUUAUGGCAUAUUAGAAAACUAUUAGUAUAAACAACAUACAAUCACACUUAUUUAGAAAAUGUGAUUAAAAAAAAAAGAUAUGAUCACACUUAUUUAAAAAAUGAGAUUAAAAAUAAAUAUUAUCACGCUCACUCAAAUUAAGUGUGAUUAAAAUAUCAAUCUAAUUUUUUUUAUCACACUUCCAAUAAAAAUGAGAUAGUUUCAUUUGUCAAAGUGUGAUCUUUAACUAUUUUUGUAGUAGUGGUAAUGGAUUUAAAUUUUGUGCCAGCUAAAGAAAGCGAUAAUGGAAUUUCUACCAAUCAUUGCUUCAAUCACUCAAUUGGUCGUCUCCCUCCUAUUCAAAAGUGGAAGUUUGAAGAGGUAAUGAUGAUGAAAAGGUGGCAAUAGUGCUACUUGAUGAUUCGAAAGCGCAUCAGCCACUCCAAAGUUAGUUCGAUCAAAAUUGAUAUGGCAUUUGCUGUAGAGGCUGCAUGGUGGGCAACGAUAACCAAGUUAAACAUGUUUAAAGACCGUUGCCUAGCUAAACCCACUACAAUAUAUAAAUAUUUUAUUUAGAAAUUAAGUUUUUUAAAAAAAAAUUCUCACACAAAACAUUAAUAGGCCAAUUUUAGUCGUCACUUACAUGCACGAUGUUUAUUUUUAUUUUAAUAUAACUGUGAUAUAAAAAAAUUUUAAAAAAACAUAUGACGUGUAAAGAUAUAGAAAAGAUACUUGAAAGAAAUUUCUUGGAAGAGAUUAACUUUAAAAAAAAUUGGAAAAAUAAUUGUCUUAUUAUACCAAAAAAACUUCCAUCUUGAAUUCUCUUUCUAUUUUAUACCAAAAAAACUUCAUCUUAUUAGAAAUUGUUUCUAUGAUAUUUAAAUUUUUGUUUAUGUAUAUAUAAUUUAUAUAUAUCAUAUUAUACAUACAUAUAUGUUUUGUGUAUAUGGUAAAAAAAAUUAUUUUCUUUUGGCCCCUCCGAUAAUGAAAUCCUGGUUCCGUCCCUGUGCAUAGGGACUGUUUUGUUGUAUUUUACUAUUUUUUCUUUUGUUAAAUAAGUUCAAAAAUUUUCACUACUUAAAAAAAUUAAAAUAUUUAUUCAUCACCAGUUAAAAAAAUAAAAAUAUCUAAUUAAUUCCCCAAAGGACGCAGCUUCACAUGAUAUUUAUUUUAUUGGGUAAUUUUGAUGCAUGAUCAAGAAGUACAUGAAAAGAAUUGUUAUUGGUGAAAAAAAUAAGAUUUAUAAUUUUGUAUUAAAAUAUAAGGAAUAAAAAAGGAUGUGAUAUUUUUUAUUAAAAAAAAAUA